rnacentral:lncRNA from 1 species
UUAAGUUUCUUCAUCCUCAUUCAAUUCUAACUCUUCCACUUCCUUUUCUUCAACACUGUCAUCAUCUUCAGUUUUUAAAUAUUCACCUUGUGGAUCAUUCAAGGGGACUAAUUUUGUAAUGUCUUCAAUUGCAAUAGAAUGAGUCUUAAUUUCAUCUUUUUGGAAGGCCUAUACGACACGAGAUUGUUGUUUCAUCUUAAAUGAUUUUGGAAUUUUAACCACAACCCUAAGUUUAAUUUUGCAAAUAGCCCACUAGUCGCU